CUCGCCCCGCGCUCCUGCCGGGGGGAUAACUGCCGGCACGGCCCGCAGCGGGACGGGGCCCCCGGUCCCGAGGCUGCAGGUGCGGGAGCCACAACGAAAGGAGAUCCCGCUGGCCCUCCCCCCAACGCGUGUGUCCAAGGGACGAGGGCUGCUAGCAAUCCCUCGGCGGAAUUUGCAGCGCUUUGAAAAUUCCACUAGUUUUGAUGCUCUUUUCCCCUCUUUUUAACUGCCUCCAGCCCAGAAAGGACCAGGCGGCCCUCCACAUUCGAAGCGAGGGCUUUGGUACCAAACCAGCCCCCCAACCCUCUUCCCCACGCACACGCACGCAUUUAGAGGACGGAUCCGGCUGCGCCCAGGACCGCUGCGUGCCCCUCCAUGGGCCUCCGUCCGCCUCGGGCUGUGCCACCACAUCACCUCCAUCCCCUGAAGGUUCCCCGGACCGGAACCUGCUCCCACCCGAACCCAACGCGGACAAAAGCAGCAGCCCCUCUGCGCGGCUCCACGGGGAAACCCCCCUCCCCACGCAGGGGCAAAGAGAAGACCCCACGCACUCUCUCAGCUCCACGCAGCCCCUCGGCCGCCCCACGCCGCGCUCACAGCUCCUGAGACGGGUAGUGGUGGCGGUGGGGGGGGGGGGGUGAUCGCCUCCCAGUUGCCCCCAACCCCGUGUAGGGCCCCCUGGGGUAGUGGCAGCAGCGAGAAGCGCGGGGAGCACCAGGAAGGGACGGAGCCGUCCGCUGCUCCGUGCGGAGCGGGGGGAGGCUGUCCUCUUGGCUUUGGGGUUUGUUUUCCAGUGGAUUCGGGACAAUGGCCGGAGAGUAUCGCUCGUUCCCGUGGGCAGUGCCUCCCUGUAUGGCGCGAGGAUGCAGUUGGGGGCCGAGGAACAAAGCGUAUUAAGCGGAUGGUAUUUAAAGUUCAACACUUCACACAGCGCCUUGUUUAGUUUAAUUUCCCCGACCAUCUCGGCGAUUUCAGCAAACGGAGUGAAGAAUUUUGGUACACAUUUGGCUUUGGACAAGUGGUCUACCUGGCUGCGUGCGACCAGCCAGGAGAGCGGCGGAGCUCCAGCUGGAAGCAGAGCCUGCAGCUGAGCGAGCACCGCGCAUCGGCCCGACGGAGCUGGCAGCAACGCGUCGCCGAGCACUUCCAAAACUAAUAACAAAAAGGUUACUAUAUAUAAAAGCCUCACUACAUCCCACACCGCCUCAAGUUGUUUAAAUUUCGAGUUUAUGCACAUAAAUAUAGCAGCCGUGCGGUUCCCCAUUAGCCAGCCCUUGCUUUUUUAAAGAAAUUCAUUUCAAUUUGAAAGGAUGGCUCGGGACGCAGGACAGUCAGCAGUGCUUGGGGUUUCUGCACUCAACCUCGGGACCUCGGAGAGAAAUAGAGUCUGUCUGUGCCAUUUCACGCGCACAUCUCGGAGCCUUCACAUUGGGUUUAGGAGCGGGCCUACCAGAAACAAGGGCUCCAUCCUCAGCUCUUCUCCCCUUUUUAAUACGUUUCCCCCUUUCCCAUCCCAGCUCCCUCUGAGGAGGGAAUAGUUCUGCUGGCACCCCGUGCGUAGACCUUGGAGGGCACGGCACAACUGUGGGGCCUGAAGGCACCAUCCCCAUAGGCAGCAAUCCUACCCACAGGACGGUGAGGGAACACGUGGGGUGCUCAGACACCUGGCAUUGGAGGCCUGAAAGCCACCCCAAGCUGCCACUAAGGAAAGUCUGUUCCCAAACAGAAUGCUCUGUGAAGUUCAGUGCUGCUGUCAAAUGGGUUCCAACCGUCCCAAGCCUACAACAAAGACCUCCACUUGGUAUAUGGCCACUUUGCCAGUGAGCGUGCCUUGCUGAACCCCUCUGUUUGCCUUGGAGGUGUCACGCUGAUGGAGCGCUGCCUCCUUGCCCCUCAAUAGGAGCAAUUCAGGAAAGUUCUGGUUAGCUUUUUGCCCGUGUAGCUGCAGAAACAUGUGCUAUCAGAAACAAGCCCAUGUUGGAAGGUAUCAUUUUCAACAUGUGAGUGGGAAACAUACGCACUGGCACAGUCCUACUGCUCUGUAAGGGCUGCACUCAGAUUUUGGCUUUUAGUCUCAACUCUGUUAUGGAGAUGCAAAAUGGAAGGGAAGGUGCUUAUUUGUGCUGCAUCUUCGUGAUAGUCGUCCUAUAACCAUUAGGAGGAGAAGCCAAACACUCUGCUGGAGCUCUGGGUGAACCCGACACUGGGGGGACUCGAGGCUUCACAGGUUCUCACUUCACUGCCUCUCUUCCCUUUGGAUUUGUUAUAUAGGAUUUUUUUUUUCCCUUUUUGUCUGCUGUUCUGUGUUUUAAAGUAAGGAGAGGCCAAAUCCUGCUGGGAGAGCUCUCUCCCUCCAUCACAAACUCACGUUUGGAAAAUGCCUCCCCCCUCCAAGCCAACCUUCCCCUUCCGGAGGAGAAAAGCAAACCUUUAAGCAGAGCCAUGGCGGGGGGG
ensembl:lncRNA